rnacentral:tRNA from 1 species
GGUGGCUCAGUGGUAGAGUGCUUGCCUGGCAAGCAUGAGGCCCUGGGUUCGGUUCCUCAGCACCA